rnacentral:rRNA from 1 species
UACGUAGGGUCCGAGCGUUGUCCGGAAUUACUGGGCGUAAAGAGCUCGUAGGUGGUUUGUCGCGUUGUUCGUGAAAACUCACAGCUUAACUGUGGGCGUGCGGGCGAUACGGGCAGACUUGAGUACUGCAGGGGAGACUGGAAUUCCUGGUGUAGCGGUGGAAUGCGCAGAUAUCAGGAGGAACACCGGUGGCGAAGGCGGGUCUCUGGGCCAUAACUGACGCUGAGGAGCGAAAGCGUGGGGAGCGAACAGG